ACGACAAUCACCUAUUCCGUCCCAUAAGUGAAAAUUUAGGGCAUAAUGAAUUAAGUAAAAAACCCUUAUCUAUCGAAGUUUAGGAAUUGCGGUCGCCUCUGCCCAAUUUAUCUCUCUCUCACCAUCACCGGCAACCAUUCCAGGUAAUCCAAUGUUUCAUUGGGAUUUCAAGUAGUUCAAAUUUAUGGUUCAGUUAGGAAGAUUUUUCUUAGCCUCUUUUGCAUAGCACGACACACUUGGCCUUCUAGUCAGGUUAACAUAAUCAAGAAUUGCAAACAGUGAAGCUGGCAUGGAGAAAAAUAAGAGGGUAAAUUGUGAAAAAGUAUAGAAGACACUCUUCUUUCUCUUUAUUACUAUAUAGUUAGAAUUUUUUUUAUGUGGACUUCUUGUACAGUAUUUUUGGUGGAUGUGAGAUCAAUUACUAGCCAGGGAGUGCUCGACUUUUGGAAAGAUGGUUCCACAGAGCUUUAUUGCAUAAUUUAUUCUGGAAGUUAAAGGGAAUUAGCUCGGAAUAGGAGUGAUCUUAACAUAGGUGUAUGAUGGAUUAUGUCUUUUAUGAUUUAAUUAGUUUUAAGAUUUGUCUUUUUUGAUUUAAUUAGUAAUGGAGAGAUGAUUUAAUUUGAUGCCAUCUAAAUUGUAAGGAGUACGCUUAUUCGGUCAUCACUUUAAUUUUUUUUUUUUGAUACAAUAAUAAGAGUUAUUUUCUUUAGAUAUA